rnacentral:rRNA from 1 species
UACGUAGGGUGCAAGCGUUGUCCGGAAUUAUUGGGCGUAAAGAGCUCGUAAGCGGUUCGUCGCGUCGGCUGUGAAAACCCGGAGCUCAACUCCGGGCCUGCAGUCGAUACGGGCUGACUAGAGUGCGGUAGGGGAGACUGGAAUUCCUGGUGUAGCGGUGAAAUGCGCAGAUAUCAGGAGGAACAGCCGGUGGCGAAGGCGGGUCUCUGGGCCGUAACUGACGCUGAGGAGCGAAAGCGUGGGGAGCGAACGG